UGCUAUCUGCUCCGGUAAGAUGGACGCUGCGACCGUCAAUCGCAAUUACUGGGCGUAAAGCGCAUGCAGGCGCUUGGUGAAGCGAGAUGUGAAAGCCCGGGGCUCAACCUCGGAACAGCAUUUCGAACUGGUCAACUAGAGUCUUGUAGAGGGGGGUAGAAUUUCAGGUGUAGCGGAGAAAUGCGUAGAGAUCUGAAGGAAUACCGGUGGCGAAGGCGGCCCCCUGGACAAAGACUGACGCUCAGAUGCGAAAGCGUGGGGAGCAAACAGGAUUAGAUA
rnacentral:rRNA from 1 species